CAUCGCCCUUCGAUAAAAUUGACAUGAAGGGUCCUGCCUGCCCAGUGACUAAAAGUUAAACGGCCGCGGUAUCUUGACCGUGCGAAGGUAGCAUAAUCAUUUGUCUCCUAAAUAGAGACUGGUAUGAAUGGCAAGACGGAGCUACACUGUCUCCUUUUUCUAAAUCCAAAUUUCACAUCCCCGUGAAGAGGCGGGGAUAAUUUCGCCAGACGAGAAGACCCUGUCGAGCUGGAGCGAAAUCCUAAUGUUUUAAGCCUUUCUUCUUACUUCUAAUUUAACUGUUUUUAAAUAAGAACAAAGAAUAAACAAUUAGUCUUAGCUUUGGUUGGGGCAACCACGGAGAAAUCAAAUCCUCCGCUAACAAACUUACUUGAGACCUACAAGUCUAUUAUUACUUAACAGUAAAUGAAUGAUCCACUUAGGUGAUCAAAGGAAAAAGUUACCGCAGGGAUAACAGCGUUAUCUUUUUUGAGAGUUCAUAUUGACAAAAAGGUUUGCGACCUCGAUGUUGGAUCGGGACAUCCUAAGGGUGCAGAAGCUUUUAAGGGUUGGUCUGUUCGACCAUUAAAGUCCUAC
rnacentral:rRNA from 1 species